GCAGGAGUUCCCAACAUAAGAUGAUCCAAAAACCCAAGUGUAAGCUCAGUUUCCAAGUCUAAGGGUUUUUCAGAAAGCAACCAAUUAAGGCAUACCAUAUGCUUCUUUUUUAAAUCACCCCCUUCACCAGCAGGAUAUUUCUCAACAAUCCUGACUGGCUCAGGGAAAAGCUUUUGCAGUUCAAUCUUUGACUCAUUUGGAGCUGAGCUAGCAUCAAACACAUCCAGAUACUCACUCAAGAUGCGUAAACGCUCAACUGGAUCAU
rnacentral:misc_RNA from 1 species